UUUAGUGGCGAACGGGUGAGUAACGCGUAAGCAAUCUGCCCCUAAGACGAGGAUAACAGUUGGAAACGACUGCUAAGACUGGAUAGGAGACAAGANGGCAUCUUCUUGUUUUUAAAAGACCUAGCAAUAGGUAUGCUUAGGGAGGAGCUUGCGUCACAUUAGUUAGUUGGUGGGGUAAAGGCCUACCAAGACUAUGAUGUGUAGCCGGGCUGAGAGGUUGAACGGCCACAUUGGGACUGAGACACGGCCCAAACUCCUACGGGAGGCAGCAGUAGGGAAUUUUCGGCAAUGGAGGAAACUCUGACCGAGCAACGCCGCGUGAACGAUGAAGUAUUUCGGUACGUAAAGUUCUUUUAUUAGGGAAGAAUAAAUGAUGGAAAAAUCAUUCUGACGGUACCUAAUGAAUAAGCCCCGGCUAACUAUGUGCCAGCAGCCGCGGUAAUACAUAGGGGGCAAGCGUUAUCCGGAAUUAUUGGGCGUAAAGGGUGCGUAGGCGGUUAAAUAAGUUUAUGGUCUAAGUGCAAUGCUCAACAUUGUGAUGCUAUAAAAACUGUUUAGCUAGAGUAAGAUAGAGGCAAGUGGAAUUCCAUGUGUAGUGGUAAAAUGCGUAAAUAUAUGGAGGAACACCAGUAGCGAAGGCGGCUUGCUGGGUCUUUACUGACGCUGAGGCACGAAAGCGUGGGGAGCAAACAGGAUUAGAUACCCUGGUAGUCCACGCCGUAAACGAUGAGUACUAAACGUUGGGUAAAACCAGUGUUGAAGUUAACACAUUAAGUACUCCGCCUGAGUAGUACGUACGCAAGUAUGAAACUUAAAGGAAUUGACGGGACUCCGCACAAGCGGUGGAUCAUGUUGUUUAAUUCGAAGGUACCCGAAAAACCUCACCAGGUCUUGACAUGCUUCUGCAAAGCUGUAGAAACACAGUGGAGGUUAUCAGUUGCACAGGUGGUGCAUGGUUGUCGUCAGCUCGUGUCGUGAGAUGUUGGGUUAAGUCCCGCAACGAGCGCAACCCUUAUUGUUAGUUACCAGCACGUAAUGGUGGGGACUUUAGCAAGACUGCCAGUGAUAAAUUGGAGGAAGGUGGGGACGACGUCAAAUCAUCAUGCCCCUUAUGACCUGGGCUACAAACGUGAUACAAUGGCUGUUACAAAGGGUAGCUGAAGCGCAAGUUUUUGGCGAAUCUCAAAAAAACAGUCUCAGUUCGGAUUGAAGUCUGCAACUCGACUUCAUGAAGUUGGAAUCGCUAGUAAUCGCGAAUCAGCAUGUCGCGGUGAAUACGUUCUCGGGGUUUGUACACACCGCCCGUCAAACCACGAAAGUUGGCAAUACCCAAAGCCGGUGGCCUAACUUCGCAAGAAGAGGGAACCGUCUAAGGUAGGGUCGAUGAUUGGGGUUAAGUCGUAACAAGGUAUCCCUACCGGAAGGUGGGGAUGGAUCACCUCCUUUCU
rnacentral:rRNA from 1 species